GAUGAACGCUGGCGGCGUGCCUAAUACAUGCAAGUCGAGCGAACAGAUGAGGAGCUUGCUCCUCUGACGUUAGCGGCGGACGGGUGAGUAACACGUGGAUAACCUACCUAUAAGACUGGGAUAAUUUCGGGAAACCGGAGCUAAUACCGGAUAAUAUAUUGAACCGCAUGGUUCAAUAGUGAAAGACGGUUUUGCUGUCACUUAUAGAUGGAUCCGCGCCGCAUUAGCUAGUUGGUAAGGUAACGGCUUACCAAGGCAACGAUGCGUAGCCGACCUGAGAGGGUGGUCGGCCACACUGGAACAGAGACACGGUCCAGACUCCUACGGGAGGCAGCAGUAGGGAAUCUUCCGCAAUGGGCGAAGGCCUGACGGAGCAACGCCGCGUGAGUGAUGAAGGUCUUCGGCUCGUAAAGCUCUGUUAUUAGGGGAGAACAAAUGUGUAAGUAGCUAUGCACGUCUUGACGGUACCUAAUCAGAAAGCCACGGCUAACUACGUG
rnacentral:rRNA from 1 species